rnacentral:rRNA from 1 species
UACGAAGGGGGCUAGCGUUGCUCGGAAUCACUGGGCGUAAAGGGUGCGUAGGCGGGUCUUUUAAGUCAGGGGUGAAAUCCUGGAGCUCAACUCCAGAACUGCCUUUGAUACUGAAUAUCUUGAGUUCGGGAGAGGUGAGUGGAACUGCGAGUGUAGAGGUGAAAUUCGUAGAUAUUCGCAAGAACACCAGUGGCGAAGGCGGCUCACUGGCCCGAUACUGACGCUGAGGCACGAAAGCGUGGGGAGCAAACAGGG